rnacentral:rRNA from 1 species
UACGUAGGGUGCAAGCGUUAAUCGGAAUUACUGGGCGUAAAGCGUGCGCAGGCGGUUUUGUAAGUCUGACGUGAAAUCCCCCGGGCUCAACCUGGGAAUUGCGUUGGAGACUGCAAGGCUAGAAUCUGGCAGAGGGGGGGGUAGAAUUCCACGUGUAGCAGUGAAAUGCGUAGAUAUGUGGGAGGAACACCGAUGGCGAAGGCAGCCCCCUGGGCUAAGAUUGACGCUCAUGCACGAAAGCGUGGGGAGCAAACAGG